GGAGAAGGCUUGCGCGGAGGGCGGCGGCCUGGGCUCGCCGAGCCAUGGCGGCCCCGGAGCCGGCGCCCAGGCGAGGCCGGGAGCGCGAGCGGGAGGACGAGAGCGAGGACGAGAGCGACAUCCUGGAGGAGAGCCCGUGUGGCCGCUGGCAGAAGCGGCGGGAGCAGGUGAACCAAGGGAACAUGCCGGGGAUCCAGAGCACCUUUCUGGCCAUGGACACGGAGGAGGGGGUAGAAGUGGUGUGGAAUGAGCUCCACUUCGGGGAUAGGAAGGCCUUUUCGGCCCAUGAGGAGAAGAUCCAGACCAUGUUUGAGCAGCUGGCGCUGGUGGACCACCCCAACAUCGUCAAGCUGCACAAGUAUUGGCUGGACGCCUCUGAGGCCCGUGCUAGGGUCAUCUUCAUCACAGAAUACGUGUCGUCUGGCAGCCUCAAGCAGUUCCUUAAAAAGACCAAGAAGAACCACAAAGCCAUGAACGCCCGGUGUGGUACCGUAUCUUCUCCAAUGGUGUGUGGGGCCCUCUGGGGUGUGGGGGCUGUGGAGAAACUGGUCUGCUCAGCCCCAUGCUCGUUCUCAGCACUUCCUGAUGAUCUCCGGAGCCCUAUUCGAGCUGAGCGGGAGGAACUCCGAAACCUGCACUUUUUCCCACCGGAGUAUGGCGAAGUCAAUGAUGGGACUGCUGUGGACAUAUUCUCCUUUGGGAUGUGUGCACUGGAGAUGGCUGUCCUGGAGAUCCAAGCCAACGGGGAUACCCGGGUCACAGAAGAGGCCAUUGCUCGAGCCAGGCACUCACUGAGUGACCCCAACAUGCGGGAGUUCAUCCUCUCCUGCCUAGCCCGGGACCCUGCCCGCCGACCCUCUGCCCACAACCUUCUCUUCCACCGUGUACUCUUUGAAGUGCACUCCCUGAAGCUGUUGGCGGCUCACUGCUUCAUCCAGCACCAGUACCUUAUGCCUGAAAAUGUGGUAGAAGAAAAGACCAAGGCAACAGACCCACAUGCAGUCUUGGCUGAGAUGCCCCAGCUCCAUGGACCCCCAAUGCAGUGGCGGUACUCAGAGGUCUCCUUCUUGGAGCUGGACAAAUUCCUGGAGGAUGUCAGGAAUGGGAUCUAUCCACUGAUGAAUUUUGCCGCUGCUCGGCCCCUGGGACUUCCCCGUGUGUUAGCCCCACCCCCGGAGGAAGCCCAAAAGGCCAAAACCCCAACACCAGAACCCUUUGACUCAGAGACCAGGAAGGUGGUCCAGAUGCAAUGUAACAUGGAGAGAAGUGAGGACAAGGCUCGCUGGCAUCUCACUCUGCUUUUGGUGCUUGAGGACCGGCUACACAGGCAGCUGACGUAUGAUCUGCUCCCAAGUAGGCUGGUAGGGGAUCAGGAGGUGGGCUGGGGCUCGGGCACUGGUUGGUACCACAACUCACUUGUCCUAUGUCCUCUCUUAAGCUGACAGUGCCCAGGACCUCGCCGCUGAACUAGUGCACUAUGGCUUCCUGCACGAGGAUGACCGGACAAAGCUAGCAGCCUUCCUGGAGACCACGUUUCUCAAGUACCGUGGGACACAAGCUUGACCCUCCCAGUCCUGGCAUCCCAGGAGCGGGUACCAGGGCUCAGGGUUGUAUACUUGGCAAAGAGCCCCACGCUGCUCAGAGCUGCCUUCUGCUUGUGUUCCCUGGAACGGAACAUGGGCCCUGCUAGUGAAGACCAGCCCCACAGCUUUCUACAGCAAGUGUGGGACCCCAGGGUGGUGAUGGAGCCCUGAGCCU